AUGAAUUUUGACAAUAGCAUCAGGCGACUGCAGUUGCUAGGGACUGGUUUCCAGAGAAACAAAUAUUUCUUGGCUUUUCCAGGCUCUGGGCAUGCCUCAAGAGGCUAUAAUGUGCUACCAGCGUGCUCUUCAGGUACAUCCAGACUAUGCCAUGGCAUAUGGUGAGCACCUCAACGGCUCAACCUUUAGCAUAAUUAAGUCAUGUUAUCCUAUUUUUUCAUUAAGUGGCUGAUAAUCAAUUAGAGGGAUGAUUGCUUUUUAGUAAUUCUUUUCACUAAGAGGCUGUAAAUUUGAUUUUAAUGUUCAUAUUUGUAUGUAUAAUGCAUUCUCUUUUGUGAUUGAUUUCUAUGAUUACCAUUACAAGUGAACUUGUAGAUGGUGUUACACUUGAUAAGAAGCUGGACUUACUGAACUGGGGUGCAAGGGAGCAGAACACAGCCACCUUUCCAUUAAAAACUUUACCAGACAUCAUACUUUAUCAUCUUUUCAUUUAAACUUUAAGUUUUAACAUCCCAUAACAACAAUUUACUCAAAUUUCAAUUAUCAGGCUUAACAAUAUUGUGUUAUUGAAUAUGUGCUGACCUGGACCUUGCUAUGCAUCUUAACAAGAGUAAUGAGUCUUUGAUGCAGCAAAUCUUGCUAGUACAUACUAUGAACAAGGCCAGCUGGAUUUGGCGAUACUUUACUACACUCGGGCUAUAACUUGUGAUCCACGGUUUGUGGAGGCAUUUAAUAAUCUGGUAGAUUGCUUAUACAUACAAUCCCCUAAAUAUCUACUUACAUUGUUAUCCUUUAAACUAAUAUGAUUUGAUUGACCUAAUUUUUGCGUGUCUUAAAGGGAAACUCUCUGAAAGAUGCUGGUCGAGUGGAAGAAGCUAUCAGUUGUUAUCAGGUGAGUUUAUUACACUGCUAUGUGUCACAAGUUCCUAGUUGUGUUCUGCUUCUUAUCUGACUGUAUAUCUUUUCCUUGCGAAGUCAUGCCUUCAACUCCAACCCAACCACCCACAGGCUCUUACAAAUCUUGGAAAUAUAUACAUGGAAUGGUGAGGCUUUGGUAAUGAUGUUUGAACAAGAAAGUAUGACCUCUGUUCUUUGGGUAGUUUAUUAAAAUUCAGAUAUGGAUGUGCAGGAACAUGAUAGGUACAGCAGCUUCAUUCUACAAGGCAACAUUAGCUGUAACAACUGGUUUAUCUGCUCCUUUCAGUAAUUUAGCAGUAAUAUACAAACAACAGGUUUGCAUCAACUUUUAACUCCACUCAUCGAGUCACUUUUUACUUGCUUAUUUAAAUGCAGGACGCUAUGUUAUAUCAACUAAACUAUUCGUUAGUUGCAGUUUUGCCAUUAAUUUUGCUUUGAAUUGCUGUUGUUUUUCAGUACACCCAUCUUUCAUGUGACAGGGAAGUUAUGCCGAUGCUAUAGCUUGUUACAAUGAAGUUCUCCGCAUAGAUCCUAUGGCAGCUGAUGGGCUGGUGAACAGGGGGAACACUUUCAAGGAGAUUGGCAGAGUUAGUGAGGCCAUUCACGAUUACAUUCAGGCUGUCACAGUCAGACCAACUAUGGCUGAAGCUCAUGCAAAUUUAGCUUCAGCUUACAAGGAUAGGUACUCUAUUUUGUUUCUCCCUUUGUUCCCUCCAGAUUCCUGCUUCUGCUUUAGGCUGUUCAAGAUAUUGCUGUAUUGGGGAUAUUACUGUAUUGAUGCAUAAUUGUUGAUUUCGUCCUUUUUAUUUUAUGUGAUUAUUUACAGUGGACAUGUAGAAGCAGCUAUAAAGAGUUAUAAACAGGCACUGCUUCUACGUCCAGAGUUUCCAGAGGCAACUUGUAAUCUUCUCCACACGUUACAGGUAAGAUCACGAGGCCUCAAUUUGUUUGGAGCGCAGUUUAGAGCACGGUUUACCAAACUGACCUUCGGUUCGGGAGUACCAACCUCAAUUGGUGCAGAAUUGGGUCAGUUGAGCCUCUUGCUUUACGAAAUGGUGCGAACUGGUCCGAACCACUCUGGUUUGGUUCUGCUCAGUUUGGCGUGGUUCAAGCCAGUUCAGACUAGCCCAGGACUAAAAAGAUAGAAGGUCAUUGGACGCCAUUCUCCUCUGUUUUCUUCAAAAUUGUGAAAGGAAGGAUGGGUUUGGCGAGGCAAACUUGUAUAUUCUACUGCAAGAUUUAAUUUUGGAAUAAAAAUUUAAAAUCUUUGCCCUAAAAGUUUGAAAGAGAAACUAUUGAACACACAACACAACAUUUAAUAUUUGAAUAAAAAUCUUGCCCACCAUUAAUAAGCUUUUUCAUAACCUAUGCCAUGCCCUUAAAUAAAAUAAUUCACCAUCAAUUGAGCUUUCUAUUGCUUAAUAGAACCAUCAACACAUAAAAAAUCACUUUCCAUGAAUAGUGAUUGGAGAUGACAAGCUCGUAUAUGUUAGUAUGUUGAAGAACAAAAUGCACCUUAAUCAUAGCCUUUUGUCAUUUAGGAACCUUCGAUAUUCACCUGUAAUGUUUUAACUUCUGAUGGGAACAAAGAUUGCAUAAACGAAAUGAAAGUUUAAGAGAUCGUAAGAAUGUUUGGUUAGAUCAAUGUGUCUCUAGUAGAUGUUGAUUGUAAAUCAGGCAGCACAGAGAGAGAGAGAGAGAGAGAGAGAGGUGCAACCUUAAGCCUAGGAGCAAGACACCUAUAAGACCUUUGGUGUCAUGUUCACUUAUAUUUUGGGAUAAGGUAGCCUAUUUAAUGAAAUGAAGGCAAAAAUAGUAGAGUUGAAAGUAAGGGGAGGAUGAGAAAAGUCAAAAGCAAGAGUUCAUGAAGAAGGUAACAGUUCAAAGAAAGAGGUAGAUAAUGAAAACUAGGGCAUACAAUAAUAUGCAUCUGCUAUCAAGUUACAAAUAUAUGUUUAAUUAUAACAAUUGCAUCCAUUAAGCAAUCAUAUGGUCUCUCAGGACCCAUAUGAAAAAAAAUAACAUCAAAACACGCUUAAAAUCAUAAUUUUAAAAAUCAAUAAAUCUAAUAUUAAAAAUUAAAAACCGAAAAAACAAAAAGGGUGAAAAAUAGUGAACUUGUAAUCAGUAUGGAUUUGUGUACCAAGUGUCAUUACGGUUCAGCCAGGUACCCUUGGUACCAUGAUUGCAGACUUUGAUUUGAAGUCUCAUUUAUGUUCAUUUGUUUUUCUGUACAUUUGAGUGUGCAUUUCCAUUUUCAUUCCCUCAUGUUCUUAAAAAGUGAAUGUCAUUUUUGAUGAGUUUGCUGAUUUAGAGUACACCAAAUAAAAAUAGAAGCUGAAUUUUGGGUACCAAGGCUCAUGCCGAUGCAGUUAAUGGCUGUUUAGAUGGUCACUUGCAACAUACAAUUUUCUAGUGUAACCUGCUCCCAAUUGAAAUGAGCAUCAUGGGGUUUUAUCUUUAAGCAUGUCUGAUCCUAAGCUCCACCUUACCCUACCUACUCUGUCCUACCAUUAAAGCUAAUUAUGUAAUUUCCUAUAGGCCCUUUAUGACCUUCAGGCUGUUGAAGGCACACCUAUUUCUCAUUUGUGAUUGUAGUUCAAAUGAAAUCAAGAUGCUUUAUUGUUGUUGUUGUUAUUAUUAUUAUUAUUAUUUUGAUAUAAUGUUUUCCUUGGAUUAAUUUGUGCAGUGCCUCUGUGAUUGGGACAAUCGGGAGAGCAAGUUUGUUGAAGUUGAAGGAAUCAUUAGAAGGCAGAUAAAGGUCUUCAACCAUUAAACUGAUUGUUAAUUGUGUCUUUCGCAUUGUUUGUUUGGACAGGAUUUGGUGAGUUAUCCAUCUAUUCUUUAUAACCAGAUGUCAGUUCUUCCAAGUGUGCAACCAUUUCACGCUAUUGCAUAUCCAAUUGAUCCCAUGCUUGCACUGGAAAUUAGGUGACAGGCUCUUUUCUUUUGCCAGCUUGUUCAUUUAUUAAAAAAAUGAUGCUGUGUGCUGAUUGAUUGUCAUUGUCUCAGCCGAAAAUAUGCAGCUCAUUGCUCUUUGAUUGCUUCUCGUUAUGGGCUCCCUCCAUUUGCUCAUCCCCCUUGUAUGCCUGUGAAGAGUGAAGGUAGACGUGGACGACUCAGGGUGGGGUAAGUAUAUUACCAUUUUCUACAUGAUAAACCACCUGUUACUUGAUUAACUUACAAGGCUUGCAUGGUUUGCAGAUAUGUAAGUAGCGACUUUGGUAACCAUCCUCUAUCACAUCUUAUGGGUUCUGUAUUUGGAAUGCAUAACCGAGAAAACAUCGAGGUUCCUUCAAUGCUUAUUUUUUUUCUUUCGGAUGGUCUUUUGCUACCUUAUAAUUUCUUUGGAUAUUUAUAUUAGUUGAAGUUACAGGUCUUUUGUUAUGCCUUGAGUCAAAAUGAUGGCAGUGAGUGGAGGCAGCGAAUCCAGUCUGAAGCUGAACAUUUCAUCGAUGUGUCUGCCAUGUCAUCUGAUAUGAUUGCCAGAAUGAUCAAUGAGGAUAAAAUACACAUCUUGAUCAACCUGAAUGGCUACACUAAGGUAUUUGCUGAUUUGUUCAGAAAAAAUUCUUUGGUUGCUUGGUUACAUGCCUCUAUAAAUUUGCAAGGAAACCAUAUAUUUGAUCCAUAUAUCAUUAUACUAUAAUUAUCUCAUAAAUAAUUCUGUGUAUAAGUGGAGGCCUUAAUCACACAAGCAGUGUAACACUUUUGGCUUUCAACUUUAAGUAUGCUUAAAGUCAUAUAAAUUGAAUUCUCAUGAAGAUGGGAAUAACAUGUAGAAUUUUCUUAUUGAACUGUGUAAUUUCUUUUUUUUNUUUUUUUUGCGUCUCAAGUAAUAUAAAUGAUAUCGCCUUCUAAUUGAAUUCCAACAGAGAUGGGUAACAUGUAAAAUUUUCUUAUUGGGCAUAGGUCUAAUUUGUGUGUGCGCUUUUUGUCUCAAGUAAGAUAACUGACUAUUGUUUUCUUCUCAUGCUAGCAUGUUCUGUUCCUCUUGUGGAGAUUAUGCAUAUCAUGUGAAAUUAUUAAAAUACAAAAGAAGUGCACAAAUUUCAAAAUGCAAUGUCUAAGGUUUUAAUGUAUAACCUAGACAUUUUUGCAUAUCAAGGUGCAGAAUUGUGCUCCGGAACAGGUGCAGCAGUGAGCUUGCUGCAAUCAGGCAACAAAAGCCAUCUUCUACUCUGCAUAAGGCUCAUUUGGUCACUGCAUGCAAUGAACCACAAAUUCAUGACCUGACUUUCUGAGGAAACCACCGGGCAUGGUGAAUGUAUCUUGUGAGUUUGGACUAAGUAGCAGCUUGAUUAAUAGGGAACAACAAACUUGUUGGCCAUGGUUUUGUGAGAAGGGAAAGCAAUGCAUAUGGUUCCACUGCAUCUGACUUCGGCCUUGGAUUGGUAUAAAAGAAUCCAGAAAGCUGAACCUGGAUAGAAAGGGAAGACACGCUACAUAUGCUCAGGCUUCUUGGUUUUCAUUUUCGUGAUAGGCAUAUAAUGGUUGUCAGAUAAUGCAAAAAAAAAAACUAGAGUCUAAUGGAUUGGGCAGGAAAAGAUGAAUUGAUUUCUCUCAUAUCGGAUGAGUUCUGCUUAGGAUGGUAAAAUUGAUAUUAUGGCUGCCACUAAUGUCAUUGUAGUUGAUUUAGUCUUGCUCAUUAGUUUGGCGCACUUCUCAGUUUAGCCUCAAUAUUAAGCUCCAUUAGCAUGUCAGUUGUAAUUAUGCUGGGACAUGACUGUUAAAUAAUAGCUAAAAGGGUUUUUCUAAGGCCUUGGCUCUAUCGAAUAACGUCUGAAAAAAUAUUUUCAAAGCUUACCCAGUGUUGCCAUAUAGAUUACUUUCAUUACAUAUUUGAAGUCUUUUCUUUUUUUUUGACAUUUCACAGGGUGCAAGAAAUGAAAUUUUUGCCAUGCAGCCAGCACCCAUCCAGGUUUCUUACAUGGGGUUCCCAGGAACCACAGGUGCAACAUACAUUGACUACUUGGUCACUGAUGAGGUUUGACAAAAUGAGUAUCUUUUUCUGUGUUUUCUGCCCUGUUAGCUUGUGAAGUUUUUGCUUUCACAAUGGUUUUAUUAUUAUUCAUCUUUGCAGUUUGUUUCUCCUACAUGUUUUUCACAUAUCUAUUCAGAAAAGCUUGUGCAUCUGCCCCAUUGUUACUUCGUGAAUGAUUAUAAGCAGGUAUUCUGUAUUUUGGUUUAAGGUGUAUUACUUGCUAUUUAUUGAAGUUGUCCUUAUAUUGUGUUUGUGCAUGUUUUUCAGAAAAAUCGUAAUGUUCUGGAUUCAGCCUGUCCGCAUAGCCGUUCAGAUUAUGGACUGCCGGAAGAUAAAUUUAUCUUUGCAUGCUUUAAUCAGCUGUACAAGAUGGACCCUGAAAUAUUUAAUACUUGGUAAUACACUUUUAUUAAUGCGAGAGGCACAUCAUUCUAUACAAAGUCACUUGAUGCUCAGAUAUAUAUGUUUAUUCAUACAUCGCCAACAGUUGCUGCAUAUUUGAACAUAAACAUCAGAUAAAUCUCUCUAUUAUUCCUGCUGAUUCAUUUUCCCAAUUUCAGGUGCAACAUUCUCAAGCGUGUUCCAAAUAGUGCACUAUGGCUGCUACGAUUUCCUGCAGCUGGUGAGAUGAGACUUCGAGCAUGUAAGUAGAUGUUGCCAGUUGUCUUUAUUUGGGUGCUCUGUAGAUGCACUGGAUUCAGUAUGUGUGUUUUGCAUAUGACAAGGAUAACUACAUACUGGCAUCUGCAGAUGCUGUUGCACAAGGAGUGAGACCAGAUCAGAUCAUAUUCACAGAUGUUGCUAUGAAGAACGAACACAUCAGACGCAGUGCUUUAGCGGAUCUUUUUCUCGAUACGUAAGCUUGAUCAACUGCAAUAUAAAUUCCUUGUAUAUAUGCACACAUUCACAUUGAAUUUAUGCAUACUGGUGAUGUGGAUUUAUGUUGGCAGGCCUCUAUGUAAUGCGCACACAACAGGUACAGAUAUAUUAUGGGCUGGUUUGCCAAUGAUAACACUACCACUAGAAAAAAUGGCCACCAGGGUGGCUGGUUCACUGUGUCUAGCCACUGGAGUUGGGGAAGAGAUGAUCGUAAGCAGGUAAUUGUAACUAUCUAGCUUUGCGGCUUAAAAAAAAAAAUGAAUUCACUAUUAAGAUGAAAAUCAAAUGUAUUUUUGUUGCUGUUUCUGUUGUUUCUAGCAUGAAAGAUUAUGAAGACAAGGCGGUUGCUUUGGCUCAAAACCCUUCAAAACUUGAAGCAUUAACCAAUAAGUUGAAGAAAGCUAGGAUGACCUGCCCUUUGUUUGACACCAGAAGAUGGGUAAGUUCUUAUUCUAGAUGAGUGGCAGUGGCUUCGAAUAUAGUCUCUAUCACAGAGCAAGCAUUCGUGAGAGUUAUUCUGCCACAAGGUGCACCUUCCCUUGCAUGACUUUCUUCAACAUGUUUUGAUGGGCUGACAUGGUACUGCUGAUCAUUUCAGGUUCGGAAUCUGGAGAGAGCAUACUUUAAAAUGUGGAAUUUGCAUUGCUCUGGUCAACAUCCACAACCCUUUAAAGUGACAGAGAAUGAUAAUGAGUUCCCAUGUGACAGAUAGGUGGCGGCGGCUUUGUAAAUAAAGCUAGGGUUGCAACAUACCAUAGGAAAAUGGUGUUAUGAUUGGUUAUCCAAAUGAUGCACGGGGCUGUAUUUGAUAAGCCCUUGUUUGGAAGGAGAUAAAGAGGUCUCCAUUGAAUUCAAAUACCAUGCUGUCUGUGCCCGGAUAUGAUCUAGGUAUAUGGUGUAUUGUUAAAGGUAAGAUCAAACUCCCUGUAUCAACUCUGUUAUAUAGUGUAGUACUAAAUACCAGUUAUCAUGAGAUUGGUAUUGAAUCUGGUAUGAGAUGCCUGGCGUUUGAGGUUUUGGAUAUGUUAUUUAUGAGUCUGUUGUUGCUGUUAACAGAUAAAUUGGCUGAUUUGGUAGUUUCUGGAUGAGCAUGUUAAUGUGGUUCCCAUCUGGCGGGCUUGAUGUCGAUUGUGAAAGUUCUCCAUGACUUGGUGGUCGGCAUUUGCCUUGCUGGCUAAAAUAUUUUUAAGGCAGACAUGGUGAUUCGCGGCAUUGAGAAGAGGUUUCAUGAUACAAGCAUUAAAUAAUUUUGCAAGCAAUUUGUGCAACGUCUGCCAGUUGAAGCUUUUUCACUAUUGAUUUUGAAAUUAUGGGAUCGGGUCUCAGCUCUCGUUUUGGUGUGAAGUGGUUUACUGUCGAUCUGAAUUGCAAACCACUGUGAUGGAAGGUUGUCAGAAUUGCUUCAAAUCGGGGAAGAAAAUGUUUUGCGGCUUGGUGAGGCAAAAAUUCUAUGAACUCUGGAUCCUGUUAGCAAACUGUGCUUGCCAGUGCUUCAAGACUGUAUAGAGUACCAAGGCUGCACUGCUAGGAUCGAAGCAGCAUUAUGUUUGUUGCUGGUCUGGAAAUUGCUGUUUUGGAGUUUUUGCAGCAACGCUGGGACUUUGAUCUCAUUCAGCCUAUCACUUAGGAUGGUCCUAAAGUUUCUCCAGGUCAGACUGGGGGAGGGA
rnacentral:lncRNA from 1 species